GACGUAUUACGAUACUUCGCUCAAUGUCUACUAAAACGGGAAAUGUUUCCACGACCGACCAGUAUCAGAAUGGCCUCAACGGCGAAGGUGGUGUUGUUAGCGUGUGGAUCUUUCAAUCCCGUGACUAACAUGCAUCUCAGGAUGUUCGAGAUAGCUCGAGACAGCCUACAGAGGACAGGACAAUACACAGUGGUGGAGGGAAUCAUAUCUCCUGUCAGUGAUAACUAUGGGAAGAAGGAUCUCCAGUCAGCCAAGCACAGGAUUGCCAUGUUGAAACUGGCAUUGAAGAGUCUGGAAUGGGUUAGAUGCGACACAUGGGAAACUGAGCAGGAGAACUGGAAUGAGACGGCCAAAGUGUUGCGACACCACCAGGAGGUGCUCGAUAACCUGUACAACACCAAUGUUAAACCCACACCCACUAAACGCAGAAAGAAGGUCCGGAAUUAUGAAGACGAGGCUGACAAUGGACCCUCACCAAAGAUCACUGUUAAUGACACGGACAUCCCGAUACAGCUUCGUCUGCUGUGUGGCGCUGACCUCCUGCAGUCAUUCGGGGAGCCUGGAAUCUGGGCUGAAGAGGAUAUAGAAUAUAUACUGAGUAAACACGGACUAGUGUGUAUCACAAGAGAGGGAUGUGACCCACGGAAGUUCAUCUAUGAAUCGGAUAUUUUGUCAAAGUAUCAAGAAAAUAUUCAUAUAGUUACAGAAUGGAUCACAAAUGAAAUCAGUUCCACUAAGAUAAGACGAGCUCUGAGGAGAGGCGAGAGUGUGAAGUUCUUGCUGCAGGACUCUGUGAUCAACCACAUUAAAGAGCACGAGCUGUACGGCAUGCCUGACAAUAAGUACAUCAACCACAUUGUUCCAUCACCGAAUGCGGAGAUAAUACCUUCCCCGGAUGACGAUGAUGGGAACGGUCGAUGAUGUCAGUCAUCAGUUCUUCUGAUGCCAGCAACAUGACCCUGAGGUCGCAGCGGUGUUCCUCCGAGAGGUCAACCCCACCAAGGUCACCCAAACACCUGAUCAAUGAAGCCCUGAGCCCCGCAAGGUCACCACAACAUGUUCCCUGUAUGACGGAUAUCGGAACGCUAGUUCGCCGGGUGAAAAAUUACAACCUUCGGGCUUUCCAGUCUUGGAAGGUUCAGAACUAGACAGAUGGCGGGCAAGGGGAGGAAGCAACUGUGAUACGUAAGGAGGGCACAAAGCUCACCCACGGGGAGCAGCCAUCAGCAUCAGUUGUGUGCUGUUUGUGGCAUUGGUAGAAGGAGAUGUUUUCUGUCAGUUCCACGUUUCUCAUGUCUGUGAUACUUGCUGUUGUAGCUUACUUUGGCAGUAAACUUUUGUCUAUGUCAGAAUAAUAUUUGUAUGCUUAGGUAAAUAUUGGCAAUUCAUGGAUUGGUUUUACAUUGUUUUACAUUGUUGAAAUUAUGGUGUGGAAUGGACUCUCAAGCAUAGGCAUGUUUUAUUUACCACAAAUGUAUAAACAUUUGCACACACAAAAAUGUUUUAAUGUAAAAUUUGUUGUUCGUGAUGAGAAUAUUGAUUAAUACUUGGAUUGAACAGAGAAACAGUCUUCUAGCAUUUUCACAUUAAUUAUAAUAUUGUUGUGCAAACAUCCAUCCUAUGAAGAUCAGGGUUGGAAAUACGCUUCAUCAAUCCAUGAUUGUCACAAUAAGGGUGUCGUUUCAGGACACCGACUUUUCGAUUUGCCACUUGUCUCAGGACGCCGACCUGCGGUUUCCUUUGAAGCGACAAACAGGAUCGGAUGGUCAGGCUCACUGACCUAGUUGACACUAUAAUUGCCAAAUUUGAUGCUCAUGUCUGGUCCAGACUUGACUAUUUAGUAUUCACAGAUCUCUGCCAUAUGGUUGGAAUAUUGGGGCAGUGGGGUAGCCUAGUGGUUAAAGU